GCCGGCCUGGGCGGGGUCGCGUUGCCGGGUUGCGAAUGUGGCUCAGUCCCGUUGGCGCGGCGGUUGUUCGGCGACGGCGGGCCGACG
rnacentral:tRNA from 1 species